rnacentral:lncRNA from 1 species
CUGCAAACAAUCGUAUUAAGACCUGAGAAUUUUUUUUCUCCCUCUUGCUAAAGUCCUCGAUAAUACCAUGUUAUGCUGAGACAAUCCUAAAUGGCAUAUGAAGCAAAGGAAGAAAAAUAGUUUUUGCCUUGAAAGUUGAUUGUUCCCAGGGCGUAUCAUGCACAGCCCUAGGGAGAUGGUGAUUUCAUCGGGUUAAACAUUUAUAAAUUCAAGUCAGCUUGCGUUAUGAUUCAAAGAGUGCCAGGAAGGCUUCUCUACAUCAGAAGAACAUGGUCUCUGAAACACCACUGUGAGACACCCCCUUGUUGAGUCUCACCUCCUUAGGUAAGUAAUCUCUCCCUCCAUCUCUCUCUCUUGGUCCCAUGCAUACACAGACCGGAAUGGUAUCCUGUGUCACUGUGAGUGAUUAAUUGGAAUAUGUUUUUAAUAUAUACUUCAUGUUGCAAAUGGGAAAGAUUGUCGUAGAAAUAAACCAGAGAGAGACUAGAAACAGCAGAAGACAUGAUAGCAAGCUUAUUGCUGCCACUGGGCCUUUGCACUAUUUCCUCUGCUUAAAAAAAAAACAAAAAACAAAAAAACUCACCCCCAGUUCUGCCUGUGCUUCAUCCUUCCAAUCCUAGUGCCAUCCUCACCUCUACAGAGAGGCCUGCCCUGACCAACUUGGGGACAAUGGUCCCGGCCACCUUCCUCAACACAACACAAUCUCUUACUUCUUCCCAUUUUUAAAAAAUUCAUGUUCUUAUCAUUAUCUCAAAUAAUCUUAUUUGUCUCUGCAUUUUUCUGUUUGCAAUCUACAUCCCCCCUGUUAAUUGUAGGAUAAAUUGGCUCUGAGUAUGCAAGGAAUUUGUCUGCUCCAUAUUAGUCCUCAGCACACAGAACCAGGUGUAAAACUUAACAGGUAUACUCAAUAAAUAUGUGUUGCAUGAGUCAAUCAACCAGUUAUUCUAGGCAUCCCAAUAUUCUAUGAUUAUUAUGUUAUCUGAUUAUUAUUUUAUUAUUAAUUAAUAUGUAAUUUAUUGUUAUUAUUGUUGCUCUGAUCUUUUAAAACCACACCAUUGUAUCUCUGGAUUCCCUUUUUUUUUUUUUUUUGAGCUACUUGAGGUAGAACUCUGGGGUGCUCUAUCACUGAGCUAUACCCCCAGUUCCUUAUCUAUUUUAUUUUGAGACAGGGUCUUCCUAAGUUGCACAGGCUGAUCUUGGACUUGAGAUCCUCCCAUCUCAGCCUCUGCAAGUAGCUGAGAUUACAGGUGUAUGCCAGUGUACCUGGUUUCUGGAUUACCUUUAAUGAUGAAUGCUGAAUUUAUCCUUAAUCCCACCAAAGUAACUGUUUCAACAGGGUUUGAAAUUUAAAUUCCAUUAUGUGAGGAUUAAGAGAUGGAUUAUUAAAGAAACAAGAAACAAGAGCUCAAUAUAAAUACACUAGCUUGUCUCAUUAUGGCUAUAAAGAAGAGAACCCUAAAAUAGACAGUGCCUACACACCUAAAUGACUUAGAAAUGAGUCGAUAAUGAUUUCUGCAUUUUCAGGCUGAAGGAAGCACAUAGAUUUCAGGUAUUCUGGUGUGCAGAGCAGAAGUGAGCUCCUGUUUCUUGGGUUACCUUGUCAACUGGCUUUAUUCCCUCUGUCGCUUUGUACCUGCAGACUUAAGUGAGGACAGCUUCAAAACGUACAGUUGGCAGAGAAAACAAGCUUCCCUGGAAGUUCACUCUCUUUGUAAAGAGAUGAAAGUUAUAACUUCAUUAUUUAUUGGAGAGAAUGAAAACCUGAAGAAGGCUGUUGGACGGGGAGACUAUGUAAACCUCUGGGUGGUCCACAGUUUCACAUUUCAUCCCGUCUGCACACCUUAUGGAUAAAAGCUUUGGGCAUUCUAAUGAAUCAUGGCUGAUGUGGAAGAGAGUUGUUUUGUUUUUGUUGUUUGUUUGUUUUUUAACUAAUGUCUGAGCCUAGUUUUCAUCAACAUAAAGGUAAGCCUAGAAGUGGUAAAGUGAUAGAAAAUUCUCAAAGUUUUUGUCUCCAGUAAGUUCCAAUGUAACUC